CAGCAGCUGUUCCUUCCCUUUCCCCCAACAUGUAUUUCCCCAAAUGCCAUCCUAAGUAUUCACAUUGAAAAGAGAUAAGCCUCUCAGAAGGAAGAUUCAUAACCACAGAAAGUUUAAAAGAAAAACCUCUUUAAAUGCUGCUUUAUUAAGAAGAAUGAAAGCAAAUGAGACUGGGACCAAAGAUCUCAGCACACAUUCCUGACACUC
rfam:Callithrix jacchus chromosome 16, whole genome shotgun sequence